rnacentral:misc_RNA from 1 species
UACGGAGGGUGCAAGCGUUAAUCGGAAUUACUGGGCGUAAAGCGCACGCAGGCGGUCUGUCAAGUCGGAUGUGAAAUCCCCGGGCUCAACCUGGGAACUGCAUCCGAAACUGGCAGGCUAGAGUGCAGGAGAGGAAGGUAGAAUUCCCGGUGUAGCGGUGAAAUGCGUAGAGAUCGGGAGGAAUACCGGUGGCGAAGGCGGCCCCCUGGACAAAGACUGACGCUCAGGUGCGAAAGCGUGGGGAGCAAACAGG